AGAAAACUAUUGCCUUCCUUGAUCUUCUUUUUGGGAAGAAGCUAAUCAAAUAUUUAAAUUCCUAGUAGUUGUCUUAUUUUUUCUCUCCCCUCAUUGGUUGAAAGGAAGAAACUUUAAAAUUAUUUAACCUCUGGAACAAGAUCACAUCAAAUGACUUUCAAGGCAAAUGAACCUCCUUGCUGGAGACAAAGACCAUAGCACAUCUCUAGUCACAAUAACUCUCUUAGCUCAUUUCACUUCACAUUCACAUUGUAUCACUUUCUGCUUGACCAGUUCUUCUGUUAUCUCUUUUAUUUCUUGAAACCCAGGGAAUUAGAAACCUACCAAUCUUGGACUGAGGAAGCACUUUUUCCUGAUAAAUUCUGGAAGCAAACUAUUUUUUUCUCAGAUACAGCAAUAUGUAUAUGUUGGACAACAUCUCAGACAGAUCAACAAAUGGGGUUUAAUAUCUCUGUUAUUCUGCCAUCAAUCAUUGUCUGGAUUCAAACAAGCAUCUACAUCAAGAGGACAUGAAUACUUCUGCAGCAGACCGAUGAAUAAGAGAAAUAAUAGAUGACAGACUGCAUGGAAGAAAUUUAUUUGCAAAAACCCCCCCUGCAAUAUUGAAGUUGCAUUCUCUUGUAAUCUGUAAUUGCUGCAGAAAAUUGGUCCAAUAUAAUAUGUAUAUUAAUGAAUAAAUAGCAAAAACAAAUAAAUAAUAGUAGCAGUUUAA